rnacentral:tRNA from 1 species
GAGGGUAUAGCCCAGUGGUAGAGUUUGUGCUUAGCAUGCAUGAGGUCCUGGGUUCAAUCCCCAGUACUGCCA